rnacentral:miRNA from 1 species
UCAAUAAAUAGUUUCAUUCAAUAUAAAGUUCUUAAUGCAUAGAUCAAAUCUGCAAAUUUUUAUAAAAUUUAAAAAUUAUUUGAUCUUCAUUUCAUUAAUUCAAAUUUACGGAUAAUUAUAAAAUCAUUUUAUACCUUGAUUCGAAUUAAUGAAACGAAGUAUCAAGUGAUUUUCAAAUUGUUUAAAAAUUUGCAGAUUUGAUUUAUGCAUUAAGAACUUUAAAUUGAAUGGUUGAAUCAUUGAA